ensembl:lncRNA
AUUUUUUUCUAUGUUCUGUUUAGUCUCCUGGGGAGAAGGAGAGGUUCGAGCCGUGCAGGAGCUCCUGUUUUUCUUCAUGCUUUAAUAAAUGGUGAUGUUCUCUCUCUGUGAAGGUGAAGCACUCACUCACUCUGUCUCCCUUUUUUUUCUAAUGCUCUCUAAUUGGAGUGAGGGCCGUAGAACGAGAUGUGGGGUCUAACUAUGCCAGAGAUGAAACACAGAUGGAAUUCAGAGGGAAAUUAGAACAAAAUUAUUCCACUGAGGAAAGUGAUCCAGUAUUACAUAUCUGUGAGUGGCAAAAGUAUGUGAACCUGUGCUUUCAGUAUCUGAUGUGACCCCGUUGUGCAGAAAUAACUUCAACUAAGCAUUUCUGGUUACUGUUGAUCAGUCCUGCACAUCACCUUGGAGGAAUUUUAGCCCACUCCUCAGAACAGAACAGCUUCAACUCUGGGAUCUUGGUGGGUUUCCUCACAUCAACUGCUUGCUCCAGGUUCUUUCUUUGAAUUUACCCUACAUGGAUCAAUAAAGCGGAGGAGAAAACCUGUUCAGGGCGCAGCGUCGCAGCGUCUACGUAAACACCCUGCGCGCUCAUCGGCUCGGCCCGUCUCCCCGGGGCUACGGCAGAUUUUUCAUUUAGCACGCGGCGCGGUAAGAGGUCUGAG